CCACAAAAAUCGGGGUGGAAUAGACAUGCGAGUCGAGCGUCUCUAGCUAUGUUGAGACGCGGCAGACGGCUCAGUACCCCUUAACUAACCUACCCUCAGGACAGGGACAAACCCGGGAAACCGUUGCUAAUACCAGAUAGGUGAGGAUGCCUGGAAUGGUUUUUCGCUCAAAGGACCUUGAAAACAUGCUUUCAAGUCCCCUGAGGAUGGGGCCGCGUCCGAUCAGGUUGUUGGUGAGGUAACGGCUCACCAAGCCUAUAACCGGUACGGGCCGUGAGAGCGGUAGCCCGGAGAUGGGUACUGAGACAAGGACCCAGGCCCUACGGGGCGCAGCAGUCGCAAAAACUCCGCAAUGCACGAAAGUGUGACGGGGCUACCCCGAGUGCUCUCCGCUGAGGAAAGCUUUUCUCUGGUGUAACAAGCCAGGGGAAUAAGGAGAGGGCAAGACUGGUGUCAGCCGCCGCGGUAAUACCAGCUCUCCGAGUGGUAGGGAUGUUUAUUGGGCUUAAAGCGUCCGUAGCCGGCUUAGCAAGUUUCCUGUUAAAUUCAGCGACCUAAUCGUUGAGCCGCGGGAAAUACUACUAGGCUAGGAGGCGGGAGAGGUCAACGGUACUUCCGGGGUAGGGGUGAAAUCCUAUAAUCCCGGGAGGACCACCAGUGGCGAAGGCUGUUGACUAGAACGCGCUCGACGGUGAGGGACGAAAGCUGGGGGAGCGAACCGAAUUAAAUACCCGGGUAGUCCCAGCUGUAAACGAUGCGAGCUAGGUGUUGGGGUGGCUACGUGCCACUUCAGUGCCGCAGGGAAGCCAUUAAGCUCGCCGCCCGGGGAAGACGGCCGCAAGGCUGAAACUCAAAUGAAUUUGAG
rnacentral:rRNA from 1 species